CCUACGGGUGGCAGCAGUGGGGAAUAUUGGACAAUGGGCGAAAGCCUGAUCCAGCCAUGCCGCGUGUGUGAAGAAGGCCUUCGGGUUGUAAAGCACUUUCAGUGGGGAAGAAAGCCUUGGGGCUAAUACCCUCGAGGAAGGACAUCACCCACAGAAGAAGCACCGGCUAACUCCGUGCCAGCAGCCGCGGUAAUACGGAGGGUGCGAGCGUUAAUCGGAAUUACUGGGCGUAAAGCGCGCGUAGGCGGUCUGAUAAGCCGGUUGUGAAAGCCCCGGGCUCAACCUGGGAACGGCAUCCGGAACUGUCAGGCUAGAGUGCAGGAGAGGAAGGUAGAAUUCCCGGUGUAGCGGUGACAUGCGUAGAGAUCGGGAGGAAUACCAGUGGCGAAGGCGGCCUUCUGGACUGACACUGACGCUGAGGUGCGAAAGCGUGGGUAGCAAACAGGAUUAGAUACCCCAGUAGUC
rnacentral:rRNA from 1 species